rfam:Ixodes scapularis strain Wikel colony gcontig_1108378641552, whole genome shotgun sequence.
GCAGUCGUGGCCGAGUGGUUAAGCCAAUGGACUAGAAAUCCAUUGGGGUCUCCCCACACAGGUUCGAAUCCUUCGACUGCG